GGUGGGUAACGCGUAUACAAUCUGCCUUUAAGCGGGGAAUAGCCCAUGGAAACGUGGAUUAAUACCCCAUAGUCUAUAAACUUCACCUGGAGAUUAUAGUAAACAUUUAUGGCUUAAAGAUGAGUAUGCGUCCUAUUAGUUAGUUGGUAAGGUAACGGCUUACCAAGACGGCGAUAGGUAGGGGUCCUGAGAGGGAGAUCCCCCACACUGGUACUGAGACCCGGACCAGACUCCUACGGGAGGCAGCAGUGAGGAAUAUUGGACAAUGGAGGCAACUCUGAUCCAGCCAUGCCGCGUGCAGGAAGACGGCCCUAUGGGUUGUAAACUGCUUUUAUACGGGAAGAACCACAUCUACGUGUAGAUGCUUGACGGUACCGUAUGAAUAAGGACCGGCUAACUCCGUGCCAGCAGCCGCGGUAAUACGGAGGGUCCAAGCGUUAUCCGGAAUCAUUGGGUUUAAAGGGUCCGUAGGCGGGAUAAUAAGUCAGUGGUGAAAGUCUGCAGCUCARCUGUAGAAUUGCCAUUGAUACUGUUGUUCUUGAAUUAUUAUGAAGUGGUYGGAAUGAGUAGUGUAGCGGUGAAAUGCAUAGAUAUUACUCAGAACACCUAUUGCGAAGGCAGMUCACUAAUAAUAUAUUGACGSUGAGGGAMGAAAGCGUAGGUAGCGAACAGGAUUAGAUACCCUGGUAGUCUACGCCGUAAACGAUGGUUACUAGCUGUUCGGCUCGAUUGAGAGCUGUAGUG
rnacentral:rRNA from 1 species